rnacentral:rRNA from 1 species
UACGUAGGGUGCAAGCGUUAAUCGGAAUUACUGGGCGUAAAGCGUGCGCAGGCGGUUAUGUAAGACAGAUGUGAAAUGCCCGGCUUAACCUGGGAACUGCAUUUGUGACUGCAUGGCUAGAGUUUGGCAGAGGGGGGUAGAAUUCCACGUGUAGCAGUGAAAUGCGUAGAUAUGUGGAGGAACACCGAUGGCGAAGGCAGCCCCCUGGGUCAAGACUGACGCUCAUGCACGAAAGGCGUGG